CAGCAGCCACGGUAAUACGAAGGGUGCAAGCGUUAAUCGGAAUUACUGGGCGUAAAGCGUGCGCAGGCGGUUUGUUAAGACAGAUGUGAAAUCCCCGGGCUCAACCUGGGAACUGCAUUUGUGACUGGCAAGCUAGAGUGUGGCAGAGGGGGGUGGAAUUCCGCGUGUAGCAGUGAAAUGCGUAGAUAUGCGGAGGAACACCGAUGGCGAAGGCAGCCCCCUGGGCCAACACUGACGCUCAUGCACGAAAGCGUGGGGAGCAAACAGGAUUAGAUACCCCAGUAGUCCCUGUCUCUUAUAC
rnacentral:rRNA from 1 species